GAUGAACACUGGCGGCGUGCCUAAUACAUGCAAGUCGAGCGAAUGGAUUAAGGGCUUGCUCUUAUGAAGUUAGCGGCGGACGGGUGAGUAACACGUGAGUAACCUGCCCAUAAGACUGGGAUAACUCCGGGAAACCGGGGCUAAUACCGGAUAACAUUUUGAACCGCAUGGUUCGAAAUUGAAAGGCGGCUACGGCUGUCACUUAUGGAUGGACCCGCGUCGCAUUAGCUAGUUGGUGAGGUAACGGCUCACCAAGGCAACGAUGCGUAGCCGACCUGAGAGGGUGAUCGGCCACACUGGGACUGAGACACGGCCCAGACUCCUACGGGAGGCAGCAGUAGGGAAUCUUCCGCAAUGGACGAAAGUCUGACGGAGCAACGCCGCGUGAGUGAUGAAGGCUUUCGGGUCGUAAAACUCUGUUGUUAGGGAAGAACAAGUGCUAGUUGAAUAAGCUGGCACCUUGACGGUACCUAACCAGAAAGCCACGGCUAACUACGUGCCAGCAGCCGCCGUAA
rnacentral:rRNA from 1 species